GUCAGGGUCUCAGAAGAUUCCAUAACAGAAACUAUGUCAUGAUACCUGUGGUCACAUGAGGUAGUGUAUAGACCAGAUAAAGACAACAUGAAGGGUAUCUCAUAGGCUCCGAAGAACCACUACAGUUGAGGUUUUCUUAGUAACUGCAGCAAAGUAUGAGAAUUAGCAAACCACUUUGGUGGGAGUGAGGGAGUCAUGUGAUAUUGAUUGGGCAUGUUUCAUAUUCAUGAAGUCUGAAGAGGCCCCUGACCAAAUUAUGGUAAAUGCCAGAAAUCCUCCACAGUGCAGUAGAUCCAGGGAGGAUGGCCUUGCCCUGAACUUCAAUCACACUCUGCCUUCUGUAUUUGGUGCAGGACACUGUUCCCAGGCCUUCCUAAGGUGUAUCUCGGAAGUCUAGCGCUGUUCCUGGCGUUCAUGGACACUCAUAAUGGUCUGCUGUUAAGUGGUGCUUACCAAAUACCAGAACAGUUCCAACCAGUUAACUUACCUAAUCUUCACAAAAUGGAUUGAGGUAGGUGCCAUCAUUGUUGCCAUUCUAAACAUAGAGGACUGAGGCACAAAGAAAACUAUAUGUCAGAGCAAGAAUUUGAACCCAGGCAGUCUGGUGCCAGAAUCAACUUAAACCAUCAUAAAGAAAGAAAAAAGAAGAAAGAA